rnacentral:rRNA from 1 species
CUACGGGUCGCACCAGUGGGGAAUAUUGGACAAUGGGGGAAACCCUGAUCCAGCAAUGCCGCGUGCGUGAAGAAGGCCUGCGGGUUGUAAAGCACUUUCGGUUGGGAGGACUGCUUCUAGCACUAAUAUUGUUGGAAGUUGACGUUACCUUCAGAAGAAGCACCGGCUAACUCCGUGCCAGCAGCCGCGGUAAUACGGAGGGUGCAAGCGUUAAUCGGAAUUACUGGGCGUAAAGCGCGCGUAGGCGGCUAGAUCAGUCGGGUGUGAAAGCCCCGGGCUUAACCUGGGAACUGCAUCCGAUACUGUCUAGCUUGAGUACAGGAGAGGAGAGUGGAAUUCCACAUGUAGCGGUGAAAUGCGUAGAUAUGUGGAGGAACACCAAUGGCGAAGGCAGCUCUCUGGCCUGAUACUGACGCUGAGGUGCGAAAGCGUGGGGAUCAAACAGGAUUAGAUACCCCAGUAGUC